rnacentral:rRNA from 1 species
AACUUGAGAGUUUGAUCCUGGCUCAGAACGAACGCUGGCGGCAUGCCUAACACAUGCAAGUCGAACGAAGGCUUCGGCCUUAGUGGCGCACGGGUGCGUAACGCGUGGGAAUCUGCCCUUGGGUUCGGAAUAACAGUGAGAAAUUACUGCUAAUACCGGAUGAUGACUUCGGUCCAAAGAUUUAUCGCCCAAGGAUGAGCCCGCGUAAGAUUAGCUAGUUGGUGAGGUAAAGGCUCACCAAGGCGACGAUCUUUAGCUGGUCUGAGAGGAUGAUCAGCCACACUGGGACUGAGACACGGCCCAGACUCCUACGGGAGGCAGCAGUGGGGAAUAUUGGACAAUGG